UUUUUUUUUUUGAGACAGAGUCUCACUCUGUCGCCCAGUCUGGAGUGCAGUGACACGAUCUCAGCUCACUGCAACCUCUGCCUCCCUGGUUCAAGUGAUUCUCCUGCCUCAGCCUCCCAAGUAGCUGGGAUUACAGGCACCUGCCACCGUGCCCAGCUAAUUUUUGUAGUUUUUACUACAGACGGGGUUUCACCAUCUUGGCUAGGCUGGUCUUGAACUCCUGACCUCGUGAUCCACCCACUUUGGCCUCUCAAAAUGCUGGGAUUACAGGUGUGAGCUACCACGCCUGGCCGGCACUAGCAUGAUUUCAAAAAUAGUAUCAAAAAUUCAGACAUUCAAAAUGUGAUUUAGGCUCUGACUGGAAUAAAAUUUAUUCAACUUAAUAUUAAAUGAAACAAUAUGGACUACUGGUAGUUUUGU